rnacentral:rRNA from 1 species
CUGGCGGGAUGCUUAAUACAUGCAAGUCGGACGGAGCUUUCGGGCUUAGUGGCGGACGGGUGAGUAACGCGUAGAUAACAUACCUUUUACUGGGGGAUAACAUCUGGAAACGGGUGCUAAUACCGCAUAAGUGCAGUUUUGAGAUAGAUUGUAUAAAAGAUUUAUUGGUAAGAGAUUGGUCUGCGUUGGAUUAGCUAGUUGGUGGGGUAAAGGCUUACCAAGGCGAUGAUCCAUAGUUGGUCUGAGAGGAUGACCAGCCACAGUGGGACUGAGACACGGCCCACACUCCUACGGGAGGCAGCAGUAGGGAAUAUUGCGCAAUGGGCGAAAGCCUGACGCAGCAAUCCCGCGUGGUGGAUGAAGGAUUUCGGUCUGUAAACACCUGUCGGUGGGGAAGAUAGUGACGGUACCCACAGAGGAAGCACCGGCUAACUACGUGCCAGCAGCCGCGGUAAUACGUAGGGUGCGAGCGUUGUCCGGAAUUAUUGGGCGUAAAGCGUCCGUAGGCGGUUAGAUAAGUUUGGCGUUAAAGGCGCGGGCUCAACCCGUGUAGUGCGUUGAAAACUGUCUGACUAGAGUAUAGUAGGGGAAGCUGGAAUUCUUGGUGUAGCGGUGAAAUGCGUAGAUAUCAAGAGGAACACCCGUAGCGAAAGCGGGCUUCUGGGCUAUUACUGACGCUAAUGGACGAAAGCCAAGGUAGCGAAAGGGAUUAGAUACCCCUGUAGUCUUGGCUGUAAACGAUGAGUAUUAGGUG